AUCUCAUUUCCGCUUUGGCUGUGCCUUCACCUGGACUGAUUUGCACCUCUCAGUUCAUCUUGGCUGUGUCAUCAGGUCACAUGACACAGUUCUCCUGGGGUGCCCAUUUAAUUCCUGCUGACUUGGAGUAUAUCUUCUGAGCACUCCUGUCAACUGGGAGGAACCUAUGGGCUGUAAUCCUGGAUCUGGAACAGGCCAAAGGUCUCUGUUUGCAGUGACCCAGACAACAGCUGGAACUCAUCCAGGGGAGAUGCUGCCUGUUGGGGAGGGUGUGAGCCUUCCCAAUGCCCCUGCCCCCACUAGGAGUCCAAGGUCCAAGGCUGCAGUUUUCCUGUUCAGAACAUAUUGCUUACCCUUUGGUUUCCAGGGCAUUUGUGGUGAUAAAACCACUUGUCCUGUUCACUUCACAACAGCCUCACAGCUAGAUAUUUGGAGAAAAGAACAUGGGGAUUUGAAUCCACUAAACUCAUAUCUCUGUUCGUGGAAGCAUGUUUACCACAAGAGUCUAUUUGUUUUCUAUUUAUCACGUAGUUAAUAUGUACUAAUUGUUGUAUUGACUUUUUGCCCUGAAUAAUACUUUGUUGUAAGACACUACCCUGUGCAUCGUAAGAUGUUUAGUAGCAUCCCUGGUUUCUACCUACUAAAGCACCCCCAGUUAUGACCACCAAAAAUGUCUCCAGACUUUGCCAAAUGUCCUGGGGAGGUGGGUGCAACUCAUGCCUGGGUAAGAACCUGAUUUAAUUGAAUGGACACAGCAAC
rnacentral:lncRNA from 1 species